rnacentral:rRNA from 1 species
GUCUGUGGCCAUACCACCCUGAAUGCGCCUGAUCUCAUCUGAUCUCGGAAGCUAAGCAGGGUUGGGCCUGGUUAGUAUUUGGAUGGGAGAUAAUCUGUCUUCAGACA